rnacentral:rRNA from 1 species
AGAACGAACGCUGGCGGCAGGCCUAACACAUGCAAGUCGAACGCGAUCUUCGGAUCGAGUGGCGCACGGGUGAGUAACGCGUGGGAAUCUGCCCUGUGGUACGGAAUAACAUCGGGAAACUGGUGCUAAUACCGUAUAUCCCCUGAGGGGGAAAGAUUUAUCGCCAUGGGAGGAGCCCGCGUAGGAUUAGCUAGUUGGUGAGGUAACGGCUCACCAAGGCGACGAUCCUUAGCUGGUCUGAGAGGAUGAUCAGCCACACUGGGACUGAGAUACGGCCCAGACUCCUACGGGAGGCAGCAGUGGGGAAUAUUGGACAAUGGGGGAAACCCUGAUCCAGCCAUGCCGCGUGUGUGAUGAAGGCCUUCGGGUUGUAAAGCACUUUCGCACGUGACGAUGAUGACGGUAACGUGAGAAGAAGCCCGGCUAACUUCGUGCCAGCAGCCGC